GCCACAGACAAAUCGAACUCGUUGGAAGCAACAUAAGUUAAUUGGCUUUGAUAUUAAAUAAUUUCACACCAGAACUUCAACAAUCAAGGGCGUGUUAUUGUUUUCCAUACGGGGCGCGCACACGACGCCUGGAAGCCAUUCUAUGCUCGCGCAGCAGGUAUACUGACAGCAGCAGGAGCGAAACGCCGGCGUUGCACAGCGGUGUCACAGAGCCACCGCGCUGCGAUCACUUCGGCGACACAAUCCAAAUUUGUCGGACAUCUCAUUCUGUGCUGGAAACACUGGGAGGCAGGAAGUUUUUAAAAAACGGCCACUGCCGCCCGCAAUGUCUCGGUCGUGGGCUGGUCGUGGGUUCGUUAUGCCAGUUGUGCGUCAUUCUAAGCCGUUCUGUACAUUUAUACUGGAUAUUAAUUGGAGUCAUUUAGCUGUGCUGAUGCUGUUUGCCGUGUGUUUUGCAUCAGUGCUUCGUGACAUCGGCUGUAUUGCGUGUUUUCGCCGACGGCUUACUACCACAAUGGCGGGAUCUGCGUUCGCCGCCUUCGUGUCUCGGUGCGUCUUUGUACGUCGCACGUUCGGAUAACACUUUUUCCGACGGCUGGACAUCCUUCUUGUACCUUGGCGCUAGCUGGGUGACGGGACCUCAUCAUGAUCAGUGUAUUGCUUGCCUAUGUCUACAAGAAGCGUCACGCGUGGCCUGUGACAGCAAGCUUUUGUGGGCAGCAAGUGCUCUCCUACGAAGGCUGGCCUGCUCGGGCAGCGGCGGCAAUCAUCUUCAAGAUUUAUCCAUGAUCACCUUUGCUGCUAUUUGUCACUCUUGUUAAUUACACUUUCUGCAUCUUUUCUCAUUUAUUAGGUAAUAAAGUAUGAGUAUGUGA